GACAUAGGUGGCGAACGUUAUCCGGAAUUAUUGGGCGUAAAGGGCGUGUAGGCGGGAUUGCAAGUCAGAUGUGAAAUCCCCGGGCUUAACCUGGGAACUGCAUUUGUGACUGCACGGCUAGAGUACGGUAGAGGGGGAUGGAAUUCCGGCGUGUAGCAGUGAAAUGGCGUAGAUAUGCGGAGGAACACCGAUGGCGAAGGCAAUCCCCCUGGACCUGUACUGACGCUCAUGCACGAAAGCGUGGGGAGCAAACAGGG
rnacentral:rRNA from 1 species